CCUACGGGUGGCAGCAGUGGGGAAUAUUGCACAAUGGGGGAAACCCUGAUGCAGCAACGCCGCGUGAGUGAGGAAGUAUUUCGGUAUGUAAAGCUCUAUCAGCAGGGAAUAGAAAAGAAGGUACCUGCCAAUGAAGCCCCGGCUAACUACGUGCCAGCAGCCGCGGUAAUACGUAGGGGGCAAGCGUUAUCCGGAUUUACUGGGGGUAAAGGGAGCGUAGACGGAAAGGCAAGUCAGAAGUGAAAACUCAAGGCUCAACCAUGGGACUGCUUUUGAAACUGUCAAACUAGAGUACGGGAGAGGUAAGAGGAAUGCCUAGUGUAGCGGUAAAAUGCGUAGAGAUUAGGAGGAACACCAGUGGCGAAGGCGUCCUACUGGACCGAAACUGACGCUGAGGCGCGAAAGCGUGGGGAGCAAACAGGAUUAGAUACCCGUGUAGUC
rnacentral:rRNA from 1 species